rnacentral:rRNA from 1 species
GUCGAUAUAUUCUGCUGGAUGCUUUUUGGUUCAAAGACUUCGGUUGCCUAAGGAUGGAUCUGCGGUCUAUCAGGUAGUAGUGGGUGUAAGGUACCUACUAGCCUACGACGGAUAUGGGUUGUGAGAGCAAGAGCCCAGAGAUGGAUUCUGAGACAUGAAUCCAGGCCCUACGGGGCGCAGCAGGCGCGAAAACUUUACAAUGCGGGAAACCGCGAUAAGGGGAUACCGAGUGCCAGCAUAUUAUGUUGGCUGUCCACAUGUGUAAACGGCAUGUGUUAGCAAGGGCCGGGCAAGACCGGUGCCAGCCGCCGCGGUAACACCGGCGGCCCGAGUGGUAAUCACUUUUAUUGGGUCUAAAGGGUCCGUAGCCGGUUUGAUCAGUUCUUCGGGAAAUCUGACAGCUCAACUGUUAGGCUUCCGGGGAAUACUGUCAGACUUGGGACCGGGAGAGGUAAGAGGUACUACAGGGGUAGGAGUGAAAUCUUGUAAUCCCUGUGGGACCACCAGUGGCGAAGGCGUCUUACCAGAACGGGUCCGACGGUGAGGGACGAAAGCUGGGGGCACGAACCGGAUUAGAUACCCGGGUAGUCCCAGCCGUAAACGAUGUUCGCUAGGUGUCAGGGACGGUGCGACCGUUUCUGGUGCCGUAG